GAUGAAGAACGUAGCGAAAUGCGAUAAGUAAUGUGAAUUGCAGAAUUCAGUGAAUCAUCGAAUCUUUGAACGCACCUUGCGCCCUUUGGCUAUUCCGAAGGGCAUGCCUGUUUGAGUAUCAUGAACACCUCAACUCUCAUGGUUUGCCAUGAUGAGCUUGGACUUUGGUGGUCUUGCCGGCCUAUGGGUCGGCUCCUCUCAAAUUAAUCAGCUUGCCAGUGUUUGGUGGCAUCACAGGUGUGAUAACUAUCUACGCUUGUGGUUUUCCAUCAGGUAACCUUCAGUGAUGGAGGUUCGCUGGGGCUCAUAAAUGUCUCUCCUCAGUGAGGACAGCUUUUUUGAACGUUUGAUCUCAAAUCAGGUAGGACUACCCGCUGAACUUAAGCAUAUCAAUAAGCGGAGGA
rnacentral:misc_RNA from 1 species